rnacentral:rRNA from 1 species
UACGUAGGGUGCAAGCGUUGUCCGGAAUUAUUGGGCGUAAAGAGCUCGUAGGCGGUCUGUCGCGUCGGCUGUGAAAACCCGAGGCUCAACCUCGGGCCUGCAGUCGAUACGGGCAGACUAGAGUGCUGUAGGGGAGACUGGAAUUCCUGGUGUAGCGGUGAAAUGCGCAGAUAUCAGGAGGAACACCGGUGGCGAAGGUGGGUCUCUGGGCAGUAACUGACGCUGAGGAGCGAAAGCGUGGGGAGCGAACAGG